CUUCACCGACCCCAGCCACAACGGCGCGCCACUGCGCCCCUGGCCAUAGGUGGCCAGCAACGCCUGCGCCUC
rnacentral:antisense_RNA from 1 species